AUAAAUUAAAAAAAAAACUAUUGACGGAAAAAAAAAAAAAAAGCUUACAUGUUAGUAUGUGUCACUUUUUUUUUAGUAUAUGUCACUUGUAGUCUUGUACAAAGAAUAAGUCAUUAAUAUUUGUUGUUCUUUAUUCUUAACAUUAAAUAUUUUACCUAAUCAAUAGAUUAAUCCAGGUGUCACGUCGUCCUAUGUGUUACUUUUUUAUACACCAUGGUAUCGAAAAAACAAACCAUUAACCUUUCUUCCUUAUACCUUUU
rnacentral:lncRNA from 1 species